UUAGAGUGUUCCCAAGUAGCAGCGUACUCGUGGAAUUCGCUGUGAAUCUGGCGGGACCACCCGCUAAGCCUAAAUACUCCCUGGUGACCGAUAGCGGACUAGUACCGUGAGGGAAAGAUGAAAAGUACCCCGGGAGGGGAGUGAAAUAGUACCUGAAACCGUGUGCCUACAAUCCGUCGGAGCCUUUAGGGGUGACGGCGUGCCUUUUGAAGAAUGAGCCUGCGAGUUAGUGCUACGUGGCGAGGUUAACCCGUGUGGGGUAGCCGUAGCGAAAGCGAGUCUGAAUAGGGCGCUUGAGUCGCGUGGUCUAGACCCGAAGCGGUGUGAUCUAGCCAUGGCCAGGGUGAAGCGCGGGUAAGACCGCGUGGAGGCCCGAACCCACCAGGGUUGAAAACCUGGGGGAUGAGCUGUGGUUAGGGGUGAAAGGCCAAUCAAACACCGUGAUAGCUGGUUCUCCCCGAAAUGCAUUUAGGUGCAGCGUCGUAUGUUUCACCGCGGGGGUAGAGCACUGGAUGGUCUAGGGGGCCCACAAGCUUACCGAAAUCAACCAAACUCCGAAUACCGUGGUGUGAGAGUGCGGCAGUGAGACUGCGGGGGAUAAGCUUCGUAGUCGAGAGGGAAACAGCCCAGAACGCCAGCUAAGGCCCCUAAGUGUGUGCUAAGUGGGAAAGGAUGUGGGGUCGCACAGACAGCCAGGAGGUUGGCUUAGAAGCAGCCACCCUUUAAAGAGUGCGUAAUAGCUCACUGGUCAAGUGGUCCUGCGCCGACAAUGUAGCGGGGCUUAAGCACACCGCCGAAGCUGUGUCAUUUCAGCCUUGAGCUGGGAUGGGUAGGGGAGCGUCGUGCAGCCAUUGAAGCGGCGGAGUAAUCCAGCCGUGGAGGCUGUGCGAGUGAGAAUGCAGGCAUGAGUAGCGAAAGACGAGUGAGAAACUCGUCCGCCGGAUGACCAAGGGUUCCUGGGCCAGGCUAAUCCGCCCAGGGUAAGUCGGGACCUAAGGCGAGGCCGACAGGCGUAGUCGAUGGACAACGGGUUGAUAUUCCCGUACCCGUGUGAACGCGCCCAUGAUGAACCUUGUGAUACUAACCGCCC
rnacentral:rRNA from 2 species